GUGCUUGCUUCUGCAACACAUAUACUAAAAUUGGAAUAAUACAGAGAUUAGCAUGGACCAUGUUCAAGCAUGCAUGCAAAUUUUUGAGCCUUCCAUAUUUUUU
ensembl:snRNA U6 U6 spliceosomal RNA